rnacentral:rRNA from 1 species
AAACUGGGAUUAGAUACCCCACUAUGCCCAGCCGUAAACUUUUAUUUACACCCAAAUCGCCCGGGAACUACGAGCUAAGCUUAAAACCCAAAGGACUUGACGGUACCCCAUAUCCCCCUAGAGGAGCCUGUCCUAUAAUCGAUAAUCCACGUUUAACCUCACCACUUCUAGUUAAUCAGCCUGUAUACCUCCGUCGUCAGCUUACCACGUGAGCGUAAAUUAGUGAGCCCAAUGUUGUUUCACCAACACGUCAGGUCAAGGUGCAGCAAAUGAAGUGGGAAGAGAUGGGCUACACUUUCUAUUUUAGAAGAAACGAAAAACUACUUAUGAAACCUAGUUAGAAGGCGGAUUUAGCAGUAAAAAGAAAUCAGCAUGUUCAUUUUAACCCGGCACUGGGGUGUGUACACACCGCCCGUCACCCUCUGCAGUCAA